rnacentral:lncRNA from 7 species
AGUCCGUCGGUGGCUCCCGUUCCUGGUCGGUGGUGUGGGGUCCUCCUCCAGUGUCAGGUGGUUGUUCAGAAGUGUGGCGUUUCUGUGCGGGUUAAGAAGCCCACUGUGAAGUUUGCAGCUCUUCAAGUAUGUGGGAAGAAACAGAAAGGUUAGUGUCCUUGAGAGGCUUGAAUGCUUACUUUGAGUUGAAGGUGGUCAUCCUAAGAGGUUUGGAGUGGAGUUCCUUCCUGUGCUGGCUGAGAUCUGUGCUUUCCUGGAUUUUAGUUGUGUGUUCUAUAUGAGCAGUAUUGGGCUUUUUUUUUUUUUUUAAUUUUUGUGGAUUCUUUGUUGUAUAGCAUGUUUUCCUAUGUUUACUGUGGUUAUGAGAUUUUGUAAUUUUGCUGUAUGUACAUAAUAUGUAUUGGAGCAUGUAAAGGAUUUUUUUGGAUAUAUACUGACUAUGUAUUUUUUACUACCAGGCAAAAAUACCAUAGAAACAAGACAAACUGUUAAAUAGGCUUGAAUGUGAUAUUUUAGAGUUGCAUUUUUACACAGAAACAUGUGUUAGAAAGGUAUUUGUUGACCUGAAUUUAAUGGGUUUCCUACAAUUGUGAGCUGUGCUUUGGAUUGUAUUUUCAAUCUGUGUCCUGCAUCUGUACAGCAUUUGUUGAUGUGGAAUGAAUAUUUGCAUGUUGUGUACUUGAAAAGCAUGUUUGGACCUCUGUUAGCUUUUUGUACACUGUGCAUUGUUACAUUAUCUCAGAAUGUAUUUUGAACCUGUAUCUGUUGCGCCUUCUUGUUGAUGUAUUUUGGAGUCAACAGUUACAACACAUACAGUGUGCCUCACAUUCCUGUUUUGAGAUUAUAUUCACAUUGAACUUCAUCAACAAAAAGCUACUGUACAUGACCUGGCACUAAAUAUUUCUGCAUUCUGGGCAUAUCCUGCUAGUUGUUGUAACUAUGACCCGUGUUGUAUGGAAAUGUGUACUAUUUUGCCUAUGUUUGUGUUAAAGAAAAUAAGCGUAUUAGCAAUACUUGGUGUUGUUAGAAACCAGUAUGCAUCUCAUAGUAAUU